UAAAAAACUAAGCGGCCUGUGCUGGGGGCAGAAAUGCUGCAGGGCGGUAACAGUGAACCCCUCCUCCUCCCCCUGUGUCCUCAGGGUGCACCGCCAGCUGAUCAGGCUGUUCGCCCGAGGGAUCGAGCAGGCAUCCCCUCUGGAGGACAUCGGCUCGCACUGAACCGCGCGCGCAACAGGAGUCGCCCCUGGAGUACACUGGGGUUCAAAGGUCGCUUCGGUGACAUUCUACUGUUGUCUUAGUUACAGAGGAGAGCAACCUGCAGUUUAGUCAUCAACCUCAGCUCUGGGUUUACGUGUGUGUGUGUGUGUGUGUGUCUGUGCUUGAAGUCUCAGGUCACUGUGUACAGUGUUGUGCGUCUGGGACCACCGCAAUGAAUCUCCAAACAUUUCAUGAAAAACAUCUGAGCGGACUACAAAUGGCCGUGGAGGUUUUCCAGAACUACGAUGAGAACGCCGUGGUGAACGACAGGCAGUGUGCGCAUCUGCACGCGCUCAUACUGACUGAGAUAGACUGUCAUACGCUGUGGGCUCUGAUAAAAUGAAACUGCCCUGGUGUGGCUUCGUCAGCCGACAGAAGGCGUGUCCGUGAAUGUUUAGUUGUCCUCACGCCAGACACUGAAAAUGAAACUUCUUUUUGUUUGCUUUUCUGUGACAAGCCACCGUUAGAAGUGGAGUUUGCAGUUCCGUGCUUUAAUGGAUUAUGACUGAAGAUGAAGGGCCGGGUCCGUUAUAUCGAGCUCCCUCUUCUUUGGUCAUGUCUUAUUAGUCAUACUGCAUCUGCCAGAAUGGGCACUCUAUUAAAUUGGCUGUUAAAAUAGCAGAUAUUAAACUGUGAGGGUUAGCAUUCAUGGACACGCCAUUUAAGGAUACGUAGAGAUUUUAAUCUUGUGCCACGCUCGUAAAUGCGAAACAAGAGAUACUGAUAUGGUUCUGACAGGUUAAUCAGUGUUUACUGUGAGCAGCUCACUGGUGGAAAUGCCAAAAAAAAAACUACCCCCAAUAUUGUGACAGAAUUACAUAUUCAGUCAAACUCCAGAGCAACUAGUACAACCUACUGGCAGUUAUCCUACAGAACAGUGCUGAAUGUAGAUGGAACAUUUACCCAGUGCUCUUAACUGUGAUAUACAACUCUUCAUUGCAUUUCAUGUGUUCCAGACAAGAUGUCACUGUGACAUCACUGUGACAUCAUGUGGAACUGUGGCACACUUGUGUAUGGCAUGGUUUGGAGUGCUCUAUUUAGCCUGUCGUAUGAACAGUUCUUCAGAUUCUUGUCUUGAGAAACGUUGUGUCAUAAACGGACAAGGCUAACCCCGAUGCAGCUCAGGUUUUACCCAGAUAUAGCCUGGCUACGUCCAAGUCGGCUAGAAGAUGUUCACUUCUCAGCCUAAUGUAGCCCCCAGCAUUCACCGACUUUUCACCACAAACAUGUCCACUGUGUAUACCAAAGUCUGCCGAAAGGAGUCAAUGCAAAUAAACACUGAUGCUGGCCUUUAAGGACUCAAGCAACACCAAACCCUACAUCCAUGCUGGCAAAACAGUACGUCUUAACAUGCUGAAAUGGUUUUGGUUGGACAUUUCAAGUAUUCAACCAGCAAUGGUUGAUUAUGAAAUACAAAAAGAAAAACAUUUCAACUAAUUUUUUUUUAGAUGAAAUGCAAGGUAAAUGUAAAUUGUAAGGUAAACUACUGACUUCUUUUCUUUAGGCCUAAUCUGCCUGUGUAAGAAGAAUGCUCAAAGGGCUCCCGACCUUGGUGGCAUUUUCAAGUAAACUUCACUGAUGCAGCUGAUAUGCAGGAUUGUUAAUAAGCAAUACUUCUGAAAUGGCACUUUCUAAAUAAGUCCCGUUGGCCUGCGGCGUCUAUAAAUUUAUUCCAACCAGGCCCUCGGUAACCUAAUGUAGCAAAAAGAGCCCUCUUGCUUCGACUACUUCAGUUUAGUGCUUCAAUAAAGAACUGGAGAAACAGCUGGACUGUGGCCCUCCAGGAUCCUGUGCUGUUGGCUCUGUGUUUAUUCAAUGCAUUAUGGGAGACUUCUUGCCGCACUUUUGAGUUUCAUUAUCACUGUAAAGCAUGUUAACUCUGCGGCAGCUGUGGCUGCGAUUCUGUCCUUCUGUGUGUGUGUGUGUGUGUGUGUGUGUGUGUGUGUUGUCCCCUCUGUAUUGAACUGGAUGUACUGGAUGCAUGUUUGACUGUAUUUCAGGACUAUUGUUAUAAAGAGAGAAAGAGGGACGUCAUUACUAAAGUGAUAUAUCUUGA